AGUGAACGUUGGCGGUAGGCCUAACACAUGCAAGUCGAACGGCAGCACAGUAAGAGCUUGCUCUUACGGGUGGCGAGUGGCGGACGGGUGAGGAAUACAUCGGAAUCUACUUUUUCGUGGGGGAUAACGUAGGGAAACUUACGCUAAUACCGCAUACGACCUACGGGUGAAAGCAGGGGAUCUUCGGACCUUGCGCGAUUGAAUGAGCCGAUGUCGGAUUAGCUAGUUGGCGGGGUAAAGGCCCACCAAGGCGACGAUCCGUAGCUGGUCUGAGAGGAUGAUCGGCCACACUGGAACUGAGACACGGUCCAGACUCCUACGGGAGGCAGCAGUGGGGAAUAUUGGACAAUGGGCGCAAGCCUGAUCCAGCCAUACCGCGUGGGUGAAGAAGGCCUUCGGGUUGUAAAGCCCUUUUGUUGGGAAAGAAAAGCAGCAGGUUAAUACCCCGCUGUUCUGACGGUACCCAAAGAAUAAGCACCGGCUAACUUCGUG
rnacentral:rRNA from 1 species